GGAAGGCCACUUACUUUAAGCUGAGGUGAGGUAAAUUCAGCUUUUUUCUCAUUCUUUUCUCUCCACGUCAAAGCUCAAGCUGUAUUAGAGCUGCAUUGAGAGGAGAUCAAGAAUCACAUGUCAGAUCCGGAGGACACCGUGUGUCAUUAUUCAUUUUUACAAAUCCUGUUAUCUUCAAGGUUUGCAUCUGCUUUCAAAGGUGAAACCACUCAUCGGCAGUCUGAUAGCAACAGAAGUGGGAUGGGAUGGCCACCGCGAU